AGAGCGAACGCUGGCGGCAGGCUUAACACAUGCAAGUCGAGCGCUCGUAGCAAUACGGGAGCGGCAGACGGGUGAGUAACACGUGGGAACGUGCCCUUUGGUUCGGAAUAACUCAGGGAAACUUGAGCUAAAACCGGAUACGCCCUUACGGGGAAAGAUUUAUCGCCAAAGGAUCGGCCCGCGUCUGAUUAGCUAGUUGGUGGGGUAACGGCCCACCAAGGCUACGAUCAGUAGCUGGUCUGAGAGGAUGAUCAGCCACACUGGGACUGAGACACGGCCCAGACUCCUACGGGAGGCAGCAGUGGGGAAUAUUGGACAAUGGGCGCAAGCCUGAUCCAGCCAUGCCGCGUGAGUGAUGAAGGCCUUAGGGUUGUAAAGCUCUUUCGGCGGGGAAGAUAAUGACGGUACCGCAGAAGAACGCCCGGCUAACUUCGUGCCAGCAGCCGC
rnacentral:rRNA from 1 species